rnacentral:misc_RNA from 1 species
GGCGGCUGCAAGUGCGGUGAGUGGCUACAAUCCGACAAGAUCUGGUCCGGCCGCCUUCGUGUUGUGUCCUGUAAGGACCGAUGUGAGAUCCGAUUGGAAGAUCCCAACUCCGGCGAACUCUUUGCUGCUUGUUUUGUUAAUCCGGGUCAGCGGGAGAACUCCGUUGAGACCGUUCUUGACUCUUCUCGAUACUUCGUUUUGAAGAUCGAGGACGGCCGGGGUAAGCACGCUUUUGUAGGGUUAGGUUUUGCUGAGCGAAAU